AGCAGCCGCGGUAAUUCCAGCUCCAAUAGCGUAUAUUAAAGUUGUUGCAGUUAAAAAGCUCGUAGUUGAAUUUCGGGGUUAGUAGGUUGGUCGUGCCACUGGUACGUACUGGUCUCACUGAUUCCUCCUUCCUGAUGAACUGUAAUGCCAUUAAUUUGGUGUUGCAGGGAAACUGGACUGUUACUUCGAAAAAAUUAGAGUGUUUAAAGCAAGCUAACGCUUGAAUACAUUAGCAUGGAAUAAUGAAAUAGGACGUUCGAUCCUAUUUUGUUGGUUUCUAGGAUUGACGUAAUGAUUAAUAGGGAUAGUUGGGGGCAUUAGUAUUCAAUUGUCAGAGGUGAAAUUCUUGGAUUUAUUGAAGACUAACUACUGCGAAAGCAUUUGCCAAGGAUGUUUUCAUUAAUCAAGAACGAAAGUUAGGGGAUCGAAGGCGAUCAGAUACCGUCGUAGUCUUAACCAUAAACUAUGCCGACUAGGGAUCGGAUGAUGUUAAUUUUUUAAUGACCCAUUUCGGCGCCUU
rnacentral:rRNA from 1 species